GAGCCAGUGGCUCAAAGGUUAGAGCGUUGGACUUAUGAUCAAGAGUUCUUGAGUUCGAGCCUCAGGUGGAGCA
rnacentral:tRNA from 1 species